UAAUCUUGGAGAUAAAUCCAAUAUCCUAAGUUUGCGAUGGCAGGUCACUUGUCUGAAGGGUCCACAACAUAUGUUUCAGAAGAUCAGUACCAUCAUUACAAACAGAUCAGUACCAUCAUUACAAAAAGCAAAUCCUUGGAUCUCGGGAAGAUAUAAAGCGUAUGCACAAGAUGGAUUUGGGAUGCAUACAGAUUCGCAUUUCUUGUCCUCACCUUACUCCCUGAUGGAAUAGGACAGACAAACCCUGAGGGCAUGGACUACUACAACAAUUUGAUAGACGAGCUGAUACUACAUUCAU